UGGUGAGUAACACGUGGGAACGUGCCUUUUAGUGGGGGAUAACAUCUGGAAACGGAUGCUAAUACCGCAUACGCCCUGAGGGGGAAAGAUUUAUUGCUAAAAGGUCGGCCCGCGGUAGAUUAGGCAGUUGGUGGGGUAAAGGCCUACCAAACCUACGAUCUAUAGCUGGUCUGAGAGGACGAUCAGCCACAUUGGAACUGAGACACGGUCCAGACUCCUACGGGAGGCAGCAGUGAGGAAUAUUGGGCAAUGGAGGCAACUCUGACCCAGCCAUGCCGCGUGAGUGAAGAAGGUUUUCGAAUUGUAAAGCUCUUUCAGGUGUGAAGAUGAUGACGGUAACACCAGAAGAAGCCCCGGCAAACUUCGUGCCAGCAGCCGCGGUAAUACGAAGGGGGCGAGCGUUGUUCGGAAUUACUGGGCGUAAAGGGUGUGUAGGCGGUUUAGUAAGAUAGUGGUGAAAUGCCGGAGCUCAACUUCGGAAUUGCCAUUAUGACUAUUAAGCUAGAAUGAUGUAGAGGAUAGCGGAAUACCCAGUGUAGAGGUGAAAUUCGUAGAUAUUGGGUAGAACACCAGAGGCGAAGGCGGCUAUCUGGGCAUUUAUUGACGCUGAGGCACGAAAGCAUGGGGAUCAAACAGGAUUAGAUACCCUGGUAGUCCAUGCUGUAAACAAU
rnacentral:rRNA from 1 species